rnacentral:rRNA from 1 species
GUAAAUUAUAUUAAUAUAUAAAUAUAAGAUCACGAAUGGACUCGAGCUAAUUGAACAUAUGUUGUAGCAUAAAAUUAAUGUGUUGCAACACAUUAUGGAAAUAACCAAUUAGGGGUGAUAGGCUUAACAAGAGUUCGGAUAUCUUGAUUAUUAGGAAAUAUAUUAAGUAUAUAAAACAUAUUAAUAAUGGUGAGAUUGUUAAUUAUUAUUAAUAUUAUUUAAUUAUAUAUAUUAGAAUUAAUUUUUAAUAUAUACCAAAUUUAUUAUAAUUUCUGGAUAUAUUAUAUAAAGUACUAAUAAAUGUGACAACGCUCUGAUAUAUUUUGAUUGUUUACAUAAGUAAAAUAAUAUAUAUUGUGAAGGAACUCGGCAAACAUGUGCUCAACUGUUUAACAAAAACAUAGCUAUGUGGGAUUAUAUAUAGUGUUUUCUGCUCAAUGGGUACUAAAUAGCCGCAGUAACUUGACUGUGCAAAGGUAGCAUAAUAAUUUGGCUUAUAAUUGAAGUCUGGUAUGAAUGAAUAUAUGGGUACCAACUGUCUCCACUAUAUAACAUGAAUUUACUGAUUGGGUGCAAAUUCCCAUUUCAAGAUAAUAGACGAGAAGACCCUAGAAAUUUUCAAUUACACUUUUUGCUGGGGCGGCAGAAUAACACAAAACUUAUUUUACUAUAUUAUCUAAUAUAUUAUGGAAAAACAAUUACUCUAGGGAUAACAGCAUAAUUUAUUUAGUUUGUGACCUCGAUGUUGGACUAAGGUAAUUAUUAUUCAGAAGAUAGUAAUUGAUGCUCUGUUCGAGCAAAACUUCCUUACAUGAUCUGAGUUCAGACCGG